rnacentral:misc_RNA from 1 species
GAAACUUUGGAGGUGCAAAAGAGACGGAUAUAUGACAUAACAAAUGUCUUGGAAGGAAUUGGUCUCAUUGAGAAGAAGCUCAAGAACAGGAUACGUUGGAAGGGUGUUGAUGCUUCAAGGCCAGGGGAGGCAGAUGGUGAUGCUUGUUCAUUACAGGCAGAAAUUGAAAAGCUUUCCAUGGAAGAGCAUGGACUAGAUGAUCAAAUAAGAGAAAUGCAGGAAAGAUUGAGAGAAUUGAGUGAAGAAGAGAACAAUCAAAAGUGGCUUUUUGUAACUGAAGAAGACA